GAAGUCGGAAUCGCUAGUAAUCGCGGAUCAGCACGCCGCGGUGAAUACGUUCCCGGGCCUUGUACACACCGCCCGUCACACCACGAGAGUUUGUAACACCCGAAGUCGGUGAGGUAACCAUUUGGAGCCAGCCGCCUAAGGUGGGAUAGAUGAUUGGGGUGAAGUCGUAACAAGGUAGCCGUAUCGGAAGGUGCGGCUGGAUCACCUCCUUU
rnacentral:rRNA from 1 species